AAACUCAAAGGAAUUGACGGGGACCCGCACAAGCGGUGGAGUAUGUGGUUUAAUUCGAUGCAACGCGAAAAACCUUACCAAGGUUUGAAAUCAUUUCAAAACUCUUUGAAAGAAGAGCCUCCUUCGGGAUGGAAUGACAGGUGGUGCAUGGCUGUCGUCAGCUCGUGUUGUGAAAUGUCAAGUUAAGUCUUGUAACGAGCGCAACCCAUGUCUUUUGUUGCUGUUUACAGUGCUUAAAAGAGACUGCCGCUCUACAGCGGAGGAAGGUGUGGAUGAUGUCAAGUCAGCAUGCCCCUUAUAUCUUGGGCUACACACGUACUACAAUGGUAGGGACAAUGAGUCGCAAACCUGCGAAGGCUAGCCAAUCUCAAAAACCCUAUCUCAGUUCGGAUAAU
rnacentral:rRNA from 1 species